ACUGCAUUAUGAGCACUUGAAGU
rnacentral:miRNA from 1 species